UGGGGAAUUUUGGACAAUGGGCGAAAGCCUGAUCCAGCAAUGCCGCGUGUGUGAAGAAGGCCUUCGGGUUGUAAAGCACUUUUGUCCGGAAAGAAAUCCUUGGCUCUAAUACAGUCGGGGGAUGACGGUACCGGAAGAAUAAGCACCGGCUAACUACGUGCCAGCAGCCGCGGUAAUACGUAGGGUGCAAGCGUUAAUCGGAAUUACUGGGCGUAAAGCGUGCGCAGGCGGUUUGCUAAGACCGAUGUGAAAUCCCCGGGCUCAACCUGGGAACUGCAUUGGUGGCUGGCAGGCUAGAGUAUGGCAGAGGGGGGUAGAAUUCCACGUGUAGCAGUGAAAUGCGUAGAGAUGUGGAGGAAUACCGAUGGCGAAGGCAGCCCCCUGGGCCAAUACUGACGCUCAUGCACGAAAGCGUGGGGAGCAAACAGGAUUAGAUACCCUGGUAGUCCACGCCCUAAACGAUGUCAACUAGUUGUUGGGGAUUCAUUUCCUUAGUAACGUAGCUAACGCGUGAAGUUGACCGCCUGGGGAGUACGGUCGCAAGAUUAAAACUCAAAGGAAUUGACGGGGUCAUAGCUGUUUCCUG
rnacentral:rRNA from 1 species